GCUCAGGAUGCCACAGCCCUUUCGGACUGAACGCAAUAGCUCUUGGAGGAGUUUCGUGUCCCGUUCCCAAGCCCGCUUCGUGGGGCAGUAGGGACGGGAUGGCCCCCCGAGGACCGCGGAUUGCCGACAGUUCAGGGAGGUAGCCGUUAACAGGGGUCUUGCCGCUCCCCUCACCCUCUUCGCCCUGGGAAACCCCAUCCCCAGCCAGCCAUCUCGCUGUUCCUUUAAGGUCGGGCGCGGCACCUGGAGCCACCCGGAGCCUCUCCACCCGGGAGUCUCCGCCCGUCCGGCUGCCGGCCGCGAGGACGCGGAUCCGAUGAGAGGUGGGGCGGGCCGCCUCCCGGAGCCCAAGCGCAGGUUUCCCGCAGCCGUCUGCCAAGCCCGGGGCGGGGGCGGGGCUGGUCAUCACCGGAGUCGACGGCCAAGCAGGACUCCGUGCGCCCCUCAAAGCCUCCACCCGGUGGCCGAACCCCUGCGCGGUGAAGGGGCCUUGGCACCGCUCCCACCGGGACCGGGACGGGACCCUUGGACUAGACCCGCAGCCGGACGUUAGCGUUUCUGCGGGGACGUGGAGAGCAGGGCUGGAGGACGGUCGCCGGGGCCGCCCCUAACGCUACGCGCCCCCAGCAGGCCGGAGGGACCGUCUUUCCCAGGUUCGCGCUGCCCUCCGGCUCGACAGCCACCAUGUCUUCACCCCCGGUGGAUUCGUCGGGCUCCUCGCGCCAGGACUACGCCUGACCCUACGGCGCGAUGACUGCGCCCAAGAGAAAAUGCCUUGAGCUGGAGACAGGAGGCACUUGCCCCAUUGACAGAUUCACAGGAAGAGAACCAAAGACUUGUGACAGGGCCCGUGUGGCCUCCACCCUGCGCUACUGCAUGAUGGUCAGCGGCACGGUGGUCCUAGUGGCUGGGACCCUCUGCUUCGCCUGGUGGAGUGAAGGAGACGCAGGCCCCCCGCCCAGCCAGUCGGUCCCACCCACUGGAUGCCCUGAGCCUGGGGCCCCCGGUGCCCUACUCAGGUCGGUCAGCUUCUUCUGCUGCGGCGCAGGUGGCCUGCUGCUGCUCUUCGGCCUGCUGUGGUCAGUCAAGGCCAGCACCCAGAAGCUGCCUCGAUGGGACCCAUACCACCUCUCCAGGGACCUGUACUACCUCACUGUGGAGUCCUCAGAGAAGGAGAGCUGUAGGUCAGGUGCAGCUGCGGGGAGUGGGGGCCACAGCAUCAGGGUCUUUUCCAAUGAGUCGGCUCAUAGUACUUACCUGAGAUGAUGUAAAUGAAGAACUCAGCCCAGAGCCUGGCACACGAUAGAUGCACAAGUGCCAACUUUUCCUCAAGUGGAUAAGGUGGAGAGGGGUGUCUUCAGCAGGCAGAGGAGCAUGUGCAGAAGCCCAGGGAUGAGGUAGGGAAUGGAGAAAAAAAUCUUACAUUUACAUAAUAUUUCUCAUGUUUUUCUAAAUCACUCCCUCCCAGGAGACUGUUUAGGCCUUUUUCCCUUAAUACUCCCUCAUGGAAUGUUAAUACCACAGAUAUACUGUAUGUUUGGUCUGCAUGUAUAUCUGUGCUUUAUACAUAAACACAGUAUCAGCAAGAUUCCCAGAACCAGUUUUUGCCCUGUUGCGAAUGCGUGUAUCUUACAUGCUCUUAUUAUGUACUUACUCUUUCAACAAGUGUCUGCUGUGCCUGCAUAUGUCAGGGGCCUGCAUGUACCUUCCCCAGUCCAGCCCACCUGUAAGGACCCCGAAGGUGAUUACCGUCCCCACUUAUGAGGAGGCUGUGCGCUGCCCACUGGCUGGGGGACCCUUGAUACCACCUGCGUCCCCUGUGGAGGAAGACCUGGAGCUCAGUGCCUUGGGGGA